rnacentral:rRNA from 1 species
UACGUAGGGUGCAAGCGUUGUCCGGAAUUAUUGGGCGUAAAGAGCUCGUAGGCGGUCUGUCGCGUCGGCUGUGAAAACUCGGGGCUCAACUCCGAGCUUGCAGUCGAUACGGGCAGGCUAGAGUUCGGCAGGGGAGACUGGAAUUCCCGGUGUAGCGGUGAAAUGCGCAGAUAUCGGGAGGAACACCGGUGGCGAAGGCGGUUCUCUGGGCCUUACCUGACGCUGAGGAGCGAAAGCGUGGGGAGCGAACAGG